rnacentral:lncRNA from 1 species
UUGCCGAUUGUAAGUGUCACAAGAGGCAGAUCUGUCGAAACUCUCUUGCAAUUCAUGGUACUUGUAAGCUGAUUCUGUGCAGUUGUGAGCUCCUCAUAUUUGAUCCUAUCAUUAUAUUUGCUUUGAAGAAAAGCAUUCCUGUCCCAAGCCAGCAUGAGCCUAAUGCAAGUCAGAAAGGAGCCGCUUAUUUCGAGAUUCAGACAUGGCUGGCGAUCUGUCUUAUCA